rnacentral:rRNA from 1 species
AGAGUUUGAUCAUGGCUCAGGAUGAACGCUAGCGGCAGGCCUAAUACAUGCAAGGUGAACGGUAAGCGGGGUAGCAAUAUCACGCCAAGAGUACCGCAAGGGUGCGUAACACGUAUGCAAUCUGCCCACAACAGGAGGAUAGCUCCCCGAAAGGGGAAUUAACACUCCAUAAUACCAUUUGAGGGCAUCUGAAGAUGGUUAAAUCUCCGGAGGUUGUGGAUGAGCAUGCGGAUGAUUAGCUAGUUGGUAGUGUAACGGACUACCAAGGCGAUGAUCAAUAGGGGAACUGAGAGGUUUAUCCCCCACACUGGCACUGAGAUACGGGCCAGACUCCUACGGGAGGCAGCAGUAGGGAAUAUUGGACAAUGGGCGCAAGCCUGAUCCAGCCAUGCCGCGUGCAGGAAGAAGGCCUUCUGGGUCGUAAACUGCUUUUCUCUGGGGAUAAAAAGACCGUGCGCGGUAAAUUGAAGGUACCAGAGGAAUAAGCCACGGCUAACUACGUGCCAGCAGCCGCGGUAAUACGUAGGUGGCAAGCGUUGUCCGGAUUUAUUGGGUUUAAAGGGUGCGUAGGCGGCCCUGUAAGUCAGUGGUGAAAUACGGCAGCUCAACUGUCGAGGUGCCAUUGAUACUGCGGGGCUUGAGUGUUGAUGAGGCAGGCGGAAUUGACGGUGUAGCGGUGAAAUGCUUAGAUAUCGUCAAGAACACCGAUAGCGAAGGCAGCUUGCCAAGCAAUAACUGACGCUGAGGCACGAAAGUGCGGGGAUCAAACAGGAUUAGAUACCCUAGUAGUCC